UAUUAUAGAUAUUUUACACAUCUAAUAUUUAUUUAUUUUAAUAAUAAAUCAAAAUGUGAGAUUGUUUAGUGAUUGUGUCCUUCAUAUUGUCGAAAAAUAUGUUCUGGUGAGUUAUAAGAGGAGAAUAUAUAAUAUUUGAGGGACUGAGUUGUUCCCAAAAAAUAGUACAGGGACAUUUUGCAACAACCGUAGAGGGUGGGGAUUUUUUUAUUUUAUAUUUUUUUUGUUUUGCUCUUUUCCUUAAUUUGUAUGAGACUGAUUGCAAUGAUUUUUAUCAUCUUUCGACUUAGUGGGCAAGAGGGGCCUAUGUCAUGUGAAUACCAUAAAAGCAUGCAAAGUAACAUUCCACCAAUAACAUGCAAAGUAAAACAGCAAUAAUUGCCACUUUUCUUUGGUUUGAAGGAAUUAUUAAAUAAUCUGCGCACUGAACAUACAAUAUUUAUGAUGUUUUCCCUUUCUUUUCUUUUCUGUUUUUUUUUUUUUUUUCGUGUGUUUCUUAGCUUUUGCAUAAUUUGUAUGAGACUGAUUGGUAAUGUUUUUGACUUUAUAAAUAUAAAUUAUGCAAGAGCUAAGAAACACACGAAAAAAAAAAAACAGAAAAGAAAAGAAAGGGAAAACAUCAUAAAUAUUGUAUGUUCAGUGCGCAGAUUAUUUAAUAAUUCCUUCAAACCAAAGAAAAGUGGCAAUUAUUGCUGUUUUACUUUGCAUGUUAUUGGUUGAAUGUUACUUUGCAUGCUUUUAUGGUAUUCACAUGACAUAGGCCCCUCUCCCUCUCCCUCUCCCUCUCUCUCUCUCUCUCUCUAUAUAUAUAUAUAUAUAUAUUAAAGUUAAAUAAAAUUUUAUUCACUUGUAGAGCCCACAUGAAUUAUAAGUCAAUAUAAUGACUUAUCUCUUCCUCUCUACGUAUCACACUCUCUCUCGUCCAGUAGUUCUCUUUUAUUUUCUUUUUUUUUUGUUCUUCAAAGCUUCAAGGCUUAAUUUCUCUCUCAUUUCUUAUCGGAUUAAGGUGCCGUUUGAGACAAAACGAAGCCCACGACGAGCUGUACGCAUCCAUACGAACAAUUCCAGAUUUGGUGCCCUUCUUGGAGUUCGAAAUUCAAGACUCAUUUUAAGAGUUUUGUGCAAAUUUGAGGUACACAAGAAAAGUGUCUUAAGCGUCACCUACUGAGCAUAUUUGCUCACCCUACUAUUUAUAUUAUUUUUUUCAAGUCUUGGAAAUGAACCGGUGGAUGACAAUCCACCUCAAGCUUGAAAGUUGUUAGAAGGUUGUUUGCUAUUUUGUAUUUUCACCGUUUUAUGUAUAUUCAUAGUUGUGGGGAUGUAACUAAGUUAGUAUUCAUGGCCUUGUAACUUAAGAACGAACUUAUCUUUUGUUUGAUGUAAAUGAAACUAAUGAAAUUAUGGUAUAUGUUUCUAUGCAAUUGUAUCAUGUAACGUUGUAAGACAGGGACUUUAAAUAUUAAUCUCGUAUUUUGGGACUGUAAUGAUGAUAAUUUAGAUUAAUUGGUGUGUGGAUGUUCCACCAUGAGAGGAACUAUGUUGAAGUAUAAUGAACGGAUGAAUGGGAUGCUGGAUGAUUUUAUGU